UACGCUAAAUGAUGGGAAAUCUGGGU
rnacentral:piRNA from 1 species